rnacentral:lncRNA from 1 species
AGAGAAGCUGUUUACUGAGGGGCAAGGUGCCCAGGAAGGUCAGAGGAAGACAGUCAUCAGCCUACAGAUGCACCUGUCUCCACCUGCUGAAAGACGCUGUGGUCCAAUGUGUAAAACUCCAAGACUUGCAGACAGACAACCCAGCACCCUGUGGAUGCAGAAGCUGAGACUCAGAGCAGACAGUGAGGUGACCUGUGCAAGUUCACAGAUGGAAUUGCU